CGUUGAAAAGUGCUUGGAUGACUUGUGGGUAGCGGAGAAAUUCCAAACGAACUUGGAGAUAGCUGGUUCUCUCCGAAAUAGCUUUAGGGCUAGCGUCGACAUAAAGAUUCUUGGAGGUAGAGCACUGUUUGGGUGAGGGGUCCAUCCCGGAUUACCAAUCUCAGAUAAACUCCGAAUGCCAAUGAAUUAUGGUCGGCAGUCAGACUGCGAGUGCUAAGAUCCGUAGUCGAAAGGGAAACAGCCCAGACCACCAGCUAAGGUCCCAAAAUAAUUGUUAAGUGGAAAAGGAUGUGGGGUUGCACAGACAACUAGGAUGUUAGCUUAGAAGCAGCUAUUCAUUCAAAGAGUGCGUAAUAGCUCACUAGUCGAGUGACCCUGCGCCGAAAAUGUACCGGGGCUAAAACAAUUUACCGAAGCUGUGGAUACCUUUAUAGGUAUGGUAGGAGAGCGUUCUAUGUGUGAUGAAGGUGUACCGUGAGGAGUGCUGGAACGCAUAGAAGUGAGAAUGCCGGUAUGAGUAGCGAAAGACAGGUGAGAAUCCUGUCCACCGUAAGACUAAGGUUUCCAGGGGAAGGCUCGUCCGCCCUGGGUUAGUCGGGACCUAAGGAGAGACCGAAAGGUGUAUCCGAUGGACAACAGGUUGAUAUUCCUGUACUAGAGUAUGUAGUGAUGGAGGGACGCAGUAGGCUAACUAAAGCAGACGAUUGGAAGAGUCUGUCUAAGCAGUGAGGUGUGAUAUGAGUCAAAUGCUUAUAUCUUUAACAUUGAGCUGUGAUGGGGAGCGAAGUUUAGUAGCGAAGUUAGUGACGUCACACUGCCAAGAAAAGCUUCUAGCGUUUAAACAUACUCUACCCGUACCGCAAACCGACACAGGUAGUCGAGGCGAGUAGCCUCAGGUGAGCGAGAGAACUCUCGUUAAGGAACUCGGCAAAAUGACCCCGUAACUUCGGGAGAAGGGGUGCUGACUUUAAGUCAGCCGCAGUGAAUAGGCCCAAGCAACUGUUUAUCAAAAACACAGCUCUCUGCUAAAUCGUAAGAUGAUGUAUAGGGGGUGACGCCUGCCCGGUGCU
rnacentral:rRNA from 1 species